CCCCCUCCCUCUCUUUCUCUCGUAAAGCUUGAGAGUAUUUGCAUUUGCAGGGGUUAUUGGAGUCUUCAUUCUUCUUCCAGUGAACUGCACUGGUGAUCAGCUUGAGGAUAUUGACUUUGUUGAUUUUUCAAACAACUCACUGGAUGUAUUUACAAUAUCAAAUGUAAAUAAUGGAUCAAACAGCGUCUUCGUCGACUUAGCCCUUUCUUUAUUCCAAGGAUUUUGAUCAACAUGGCAUCGGGUCAUGUGAGCAUGAAAUAUGGUUUCCAGGUGAGUACACAACCAUGGCCAGAUGAUUUUGUAUUAUAAAACUAUCCAGAGACAACAGGAUAACUUUCUCUAUUAUGAUCUGUCUCUGUUAUGUGUCCUUUCCUUCUUCAGAGGGAAUUUAUCUAUAAUUAUGCAUCUUAUGUAAAAAUGGU